CAGUGAUGAUAUGGGUGAAGGAAGUGGUGUAGCGAUUCCUUUGAGCGUACGCACAGAAACUUGAUCAGGCUAAAUGGUGGAUAAGGUUGCUAGACAAACCGAAGUCCGAAAGGUAAACGUAAAACCAAGACAGUAAAUCAAGGCGCAGUGAAGGAAAGA
rnacentral:ncRNA from 1 species